rnacentral:rRNA from 1 species
UACAGAGGUCUCAAGCGUUGUUCGGAUUCCUUGGGCGUAAAGGGUGCGCAGGCGGCGUGGAAAGUUGAGUGUGAAAUCCUGGGGCUCAACCCCAGAACUGCACUCAAUACUCCCAUGCUAGAGGAAUGUAGAGGAGAGUGGAAUUCACGGUGUAGCAGUGAAAUGCGUAGAUAUCGUGAGGAAGACCAGUUGCGGAGGCGACUCUCUGGGCAUUUCCUGACGCUCAUGCACGAAGGCCAGGGGAGCAAACGGG